AACGAACGCUGGCGGCAUGCCUAACACAUGCAAGUCGAACGAGACCUUCGGGUCUAGUGGCGCACGGGUGCGUAACGCGUGGGAACCUGCCCUUAGGUUCGGAAUAACUCCCCGAAAGGGGUGCUAAUACCGGAUAAUGUCUUCGGACCAAAGAUUUAUCGCCUUUGGAUGGGCCCGCGUUGGAUUAGCUAGUUGGUAGGGUAAAAGCCUACCAAGGCGACGAUCCAUAGCUGGUCUGAGAGGAUGAUCAGCCACACUGGGACUGAGACACGGACCAGACUCCUACGGGAGGCAGCAGUGGGGAAUAUUGGACAAUGGGCGAAAGCCUGAUCCAGCAAUGCCGCGUGAGUGAUGAAGGCCUUAGGGUUGUAAAGCUCUUUUACCAGGGAUGAUAAUGACAGUACCGGGAGAAUAAGCUCCGGCUAACUCCGUG
rnacentral:rRNA from 1 species